rnacentral:rRNA from 1 species
GAUGAACGCUGGCUUUGUGCCUAAUACAUGCAAGUCGAGCGAACGGACGAGAAGCUUGCUUCUCUGAUGUUAGCGGCGGACGGGUGAGUAACACGUGGAUAACCCACCUAUAAGACUGGGAUAACUUCGGGAAACCGGAGCUAAUACCGGAUAAUAUUUUGAACCGCAUGGUUCAAAAGUGAAAGACGGUCUUGCUGUCACUUAUAGAUGGAUCCGCGCUGCAUUAGCUAGUUGGUAAGGUAACGGCUUACCAAGGCAACGAUGCAUAGCCGACCUGAGAGGGUGAUCGGCCACACUGGAACUGAGACACGGUCCAGACUCCUACGGGAGGCAGCAGUAGGGAAUCUUCCGCAAUGGGCGAAAGCCUGACGGAGCAACGCCGCGUGAGUGAUGAAGGUCUUCGGAUCGUAAAACUCUGUUUUUAGGGAAGAACAUAUGUGUAAGUAACUGUGCACAUCUUGACGGUACCUAAUCAGAUAGCCACGGCUAACUACGUGCCAGCAGCCGCGGUAAUACGUAGGUGGCAAGCGUUAUCCCGAAUUAUUGGGCGUCAAGCGCGCGUAGCGGUUUUUUAAGUCUGAUGUGAAAGCCCACGGCUCAACCGUGGAGGGUCAUUGGAAACUGGAAAACUUGAGUGCAGAAGAGGAAAGUGGAAUUCCAUGUGUAGCGGUGAAAUGCGCAGAGAUAUGGAGGAACACCAGUGGCGAAGGCGACUUUCUGGUCUGUAACUGACGCUGAUGUGCGAAAGCGUGGGGAUCAAACAGGAUUAGAUACCCUGGUAGUCCACGCCGUAAACGAUGAGUGCUAAGUGUUAGGGGGUUUCCGCCCCUUAGUGCUGCAGCUAACGCAUUAAGCACUCCGCCUGGGGAGUACGACCGCAAGGUUGAAACUCAAAGGAAUUGACGGGGACCCGCACAAGCGGUGGAGCAUGUGGUUUAAUUCGAAGCAACGCGAAGAACCUUACCAAAUCUUGACAUCCUUUGACAACUCUAGAGAUAGAGCCUUCCCCUUCGGGGGACAAAGUGACAGGUGGUGCAUGGUUGUCGUCAGCUCGUGUCGUGAGAUGUUGGGUUAAGUCCCGCAACGAGCGCAACCCUUAAGCUUAGUUGCCAUCAUUAAGUUGGGCACUCUAAGUUGACUGCCGGUGACAAACCGGAGGAAGGUGGGGAUGACGUCAAAUCAUCAUGCCCCUUAUGAUUUGGGCUACACACGUGCUACAAUGGACAAUACAAAGGGCAGCGAAACCGCGAGGUCAAGCAAAUCCCAUAAAGUUGUUCUCAGUUCGGAUUGUAGUCUGCAACUCGACUACAUGAAGCUGGAAUCGCUAGUAAUCGUAGAUCAGCAUGCUACGGUGAAUACGUUCCCGGGUCA